GUAGGUGGCAAGCGUUGUCCGGAAUUAUUGGGCGUAAAGCGCGCGCAGGCGGUUCUUUAAGUCUGAUGUGAAAGCCCACGGCUCAACCGUGGAGGGUCAUUGGAAACUGGAGGACUUGAGUACAGAAGAGGAAAGCGGAAUUCCACGUGUAGCGGUGAAAUGCGUAGAGAUGUGGAGGAACACCAGUGGCGAAGGCGGCUUUCUGGUCUGUAACUGACGCUGAGGCGCGAAAGCGUGGGGAGCAAACAGGGAUUAGAUACCCUGGUAGUCCACGCCGUAAACGAUGAGUGCUAAGUGUUAGGGGGUUUCCGCCCCCUUAGUGCUGCAGCUAACGCAUUAAGCACUCCGCCUGGGGAUACAGCCGCAAGGCUG
rnacentral:rRNA from 1 species